AAUGAACGCUGGCGGUAGGCCUAACACAUGCAAGUCGAACGGCAGCACCGUAAGUGCUUGCUCUUGCGGGUGGCGAGUGGCGGACGGGUGGCGAAUACUUCGGAAUCUACUUUUUCGUGGGGGCUAACAUAGGGAAACUUACGCUAAUACAGCAUUCGACCUACGGGUGAAAGCAGGCGAUCUUCGGACCUUGCGCGAUUGAAUGAGCCGAUGUCGGAUUAGCUCGUUGGCGGGGUAAAGGCCCACCACGGCGACGAUCCGUAGCUGGUCUGAGAGGAUGAUCAGCCAGACUGGAACAGAGAAGCGGGCCAGACUCAGACGGGAGGACGCGGUGGGGAAUAUUAGACGAAGGACGCAAGCGGGAUACAGGCAUACCGCGUGGGUGAUGAAGGACUUCGGGUUGGAGAGCCCUGUUGUUGUGAAAGAAAUGAAGCAGGUUAAUACGCGGGUGUUCUGACGGUACCCAAAGAAUAAGCACCGGCUAACUUCGUG
rnacentral:rRNA from 1 species